UAUAAUUUAUCAACAAUCAAGGUGUUUAUUUAUGUAUAUUUUUGUAAUAGCUUGGUACAGUAGGGCGCCGCCGUGAGAAAAUAUUCUAUGUGCAACUGCGCCGCAAGCUGAAAAAGAUUGGGAGCCCCUGGGCUAAGGUAAUAAGCA